rnacentral:rRNA from 1 species
UACGUAGGGUGCGAGCGUUGUCCGGAAUUAUUGGGCGUAAAGAGCUCGUAGGCGGUGUGUCGCGUCGGCCGUGAAAACCUGGGGCUCAACUCUGGGCGUGCGGUCGAUACGGGCAUCACUGGAGUUCGGCAGGGGAGACUGGAAUUCCUGGUGUAGCGGUGAAAUGCGCAGAUAUCAGGAGGAACACCGGUGGCGAAGGCGGGUCUCUGG